GUUUAUGGAUGGAAUUUGGCCUUCAGUACUUCGCAUGGGUCAUUAUCGAAGGAAUUUGACCUUCGGUAAGUGGUUGGUGUAUAACAAAGUGGGAUUUUUCCCUCUCCUCUUUUCACGAAAGUUGUUUUUCCCCCAAUAUUCAGAUUCUCCCAACUCUAUCUACACAUUGUUCCUUCCACCCAUUUCGUCUUCGUCGUUGGGUCGGCCAUUCCAAGAACGUCCUUAGAGUCAUCUUCUCGGAGGGUCUUGGGCAUUGGCUUUCGAUGUUCGCCUCAUUAGCUGCCGGUGUUCACCACUCACAUUUUCAUUAGGGCAAAAAUCAGGUAUUGCCUCUAACAUUUUCAUUUCGCACUGAAACACAUAUUCCCUCCCUUGUUUGAUUUUCCUUAUCUGAGAACCCUCGCAAUGAUCUUGUCUAUUAGAAUUAGUUAUUCGUGAUUCUGUUCUAAUUACAGUAAUCACAUUAUUAGAAUUAGUUAUUCGUGAUUCUGUUCUAAUUACAGUAAUCACACUUUUGUUAGUCUGUUAGGAUUUACCAUAUAUUUUUUUUCCAUUAUUAUGUUCUUCCCAUCCACAGAGAACUCUAUAAAUAAGAGUUCUCCCUUUGAUGUAAACACACAGAAACAUACAAUAAUAACACAAAUUUAGUUUUAUGCAGUUACCUUCGCUUCUCUGUUCUUCUUCUUCUUUCUCGUUUUCUUCUUAUAAAUUCUUCCGCUGCCCAGUUCUUUAGCCCCUUGAUACUUCUUGCUUGAUUCUUUUGUCUUCUUGAACCAGUUCUUGAUGACAACCAAAAUGGAUCAUACAGACCAGCAUGAUAAUCCAGCUAAUGAUCCUUCCAGCCCCUUCUACUUACAUCCUGGAGAAAAUCCAGGAUUAACACUCAUUUCUCAGGUCCUAAGUGAGACAAAUUAUUCCUCUUGGAGUAGAAGCAUGAGAAGAGCUCUUCUCUCCAAGAACAAGAUUAAAUUCAUUGAUGGGUCAAUCAAGAAACCCAAAAGAACUGAAGCCUUGUUUGAUACAUGGGAAAGAUGUAACAUGAUGGUGCUCUCAUGGAUCAUAAAAACACUUUCCCCACAAAUUGCUGAAAGUGUAAUAUAUGUUGAAGAAGCUAAAGAAUUGUGGGAUGAAUUGAGGGAAAGAUUUUCUAAAGGAGACUACUUCAAGAUUUCAGAUCUUCUCCAAGAUAUCCACUCAAUUACACAAGGGGAGAGAACUGUCAACCAGUUCUUUACUGACUUAAAAAUUCUUUGGGAAGAAUUAGAGUCACUUAGACCCAUACCCAAUUGUACUUGCAAAAUUCCUUGCAGCUGCGAACUCUCAAAAAUUUCUCUGAAAUACAGAGAGAUUGAGCAUGUUAUAUGCUUUCUAAAAGGGUUAAAUGACAACUACAAUACUGUCCGAACCCAGAUUCUACUGAUGGAGCCUCUGCCAAACAUAAACCGUGUCUUUUCCCUCAUUAUGCAGCAGGAGAGACAAGAAAGAUCCAAUGCAAAUCAGUUUGCUGAAACAACAAAGAUCCUAGUGAACACUGCUGACAGGAAUAUUAACAGCUGGAAAAAUGACCAGUCUUGGAAGAACCAAGACCGUGGUACUGGAGCAAAUGGACAGGGAAGAGGAAGAGUGAGAAAUCCUAAUCAUGGAAAGCAAUGCUCCUACUGCAACAAGAUGAACCACACUGUGGAUGAGUGCUACUCCAAGCAUGGCUAUCCACCUUGGUACAAAAAGACAGAUAACAGUCAAGAGAAGAAGGGAGGCUGGAAUUCAGCAAAUAUCUGCCAUAGUGCACCUGGACCAGAGACUGUUCAAAAGGGGAGCACGAAUACAGCUCUCAACUCUCUCACACAAGACCAAAUGGAAAAGCUUCUCAAGAUGAUUGAGAAAGCGGAUGACUCUACACACAAAAUUAACCAGAUGAACAGAAAUGAAAAGGAAGACAAAACAGGUACACUUUCUUGGAUUAUUGACACUGGAGCUAUUGAUCAUGUUACUUAUGAUAAAGGAAAUUUUGUAACUUUCUAUAAAAUUAAACCCUUACUGUUAGAUUGCCUAACAACACUAUCAUCACUGCUGAACAUGCAGGGACAGUACAAUUCUCUAAGGAUUUUGUUCUUUUUAAUGUCUUAUAUAUUCCUAAUUUUUCUUUCAAUCUAAUUUCUGUUCAAAGCCUUAUAAAAGAUUUGGAUUGUAGCCUAACCUUUUCUUCUAAGGGAUGUCAGAUAAGGAAGAAUUUUACAUUGAAGAUGAUUGGGUAUGCUAGCUCUCACAAAGGCCUCUACUACCUACAAGCUCUCUCAAGUCCUGAUCAGGAUUUUGCCUUUAAAAUUGUUUUAUCUUUCAAGCAUGUUGAUGUUAAUUUGUGGCACUAUAGAUUAGGCCACCCUGGACACAAAAUUGUGAAACAAAUAUGUGAAUAUUUUCCUUAUGUACAGAUGAAAGCUAAUAUUGUUUGUGAUAUUUGUCACUAUGCUAAACAACAUAAGUUGUCUUUCCCUACAAGUAUUUCCCUAUCUGAAGAGUGUUUUGAUUUGAUUAUUGUGACAUAUGGGGUCCCCUUUCUAUUCCAUCUAUUCAUGGUCAUAGGUACUUUCUUACUAUUGUUGAUGACUAUAGCAGACAUACCUGGGUAUUUUUAAUGAAAAAUAAGGGUCAAACUAGAGAUUUACUGCAAAAUUUCAUCAUCAAAGCUAACAAUCAGUUUGGAAAAAUGAUUAAAACUGUAAGGUCUGAUAAUGGACCUGAAUUUAACUGUGUCAGCUUGUAUGAUUCUCAUGGAAUCAAUCACCAAACCAGUUGUGUUGAGACUCCUGAACAGAAUUCUGUUGUGGAGCGUAAACAUCAACACAUUCUUUAUGUGACACGAAGCCUCAUGUUUCAGUCUAAUCUACCCAAUGCCUAUUGGUCAUAUGCUCUCAGUCAUGCUGUUUAUCUCAUAAACAGAUUACCUACUCCCAUCCUGAAAAAUAAAACUCCCCAUGAUUUCAUCUACAAUGUCCCUCCCACCUAUUUGAACCUCAAGACUUUUGGAAGCCUUUGUUUUGCUUCCACUCUUGAGAGUGGAAGAAACAAGCUUGACCCGAGAGCUAAAAAGGGCAUUUUUCUCGGUUUCAAAAGUGGGGUCAAGGGUUACAUUGUCCUUGACAUCCACACUAGAGAGAUAUUUAUAAGCAGAAACGUUGUUUUCUAUGAAAGUGUUUUUCCUUUGAAAAAUCAACAAAAUAGCACAGGAAUUGAUGACCAAGAAAUUAGCAAGACUGUCUUCCUCAAUGACCCUCUAAACAGUUCUGCCACUAGAGGGGAUGGAAGGUUAGUUGAAGAGGAAGAACAUCCAAACAUCACUGAUCAAGAAGAUAUUGACAGAGACACUGAUGGAAGUGAAGCAGAUCACAAGUAUAGAGGAUCUGAAAGUGAUAUUGAUGGACAGAUUGAAGAAAAUGAAGGAGAACACAGGUGCAGAAGGUCAGACAGAGUAAAAAGAGCUCCAGGGUAUAUUCACCAGGUUAAUCAAUCCUUAACUGAGAAAAAUAAUCUCAAAACGCCUUAUCCUAUUUCUAAAUCAUUGUCUUGUGAUUCACUGACAGAGAAACAUCUAAGAUACAUUAUGGCUAUCACUACCAGCACAGAACCACGCACCUAUAAUGAGGCCAAAGACGUGAGUGAGUGGGCAGAAGCCAUGAAAAGAGAGAUCAAGGCCCUGCAGGACAACAACACAUGGUUCCUAACCAAACUUCCACCAGGAAAGACUGCAAUAGGUUGCAGAUAGGUGUACAAGAUUAAAUAUAAGGCUGAUGGCACCAUAGAAAGGCACAAAGCUCGCCUUGUAGCAAAGGGGUACACUCAGCAAGAAGGAAUAGAUUAUUUAGAUACUUUUUUCCCUGUUGCAAAGCUCACUACUGUCAGAUUGUUAAUUGCCCUUGCAGCCUCCCAGAGUUGGUUUCUACACCAACUAGAUGUGGACAAUGCCUUCCUCCACGGUGAGUUAAAAGAAGAAGUGUACAUGGAACCGCCACCUGGCCUUGCAGGUUGCGAUAAAGGUCAAGUUUGUAGACUCACUAAGUCUCUAUAUGGUCUAAAGCAGGCCAGUAGACAAUGGUUUGAGAAAUUAUCCACAUUUCUCAUUUCUGCCAAUUAUAUACAAUCCAAAUCUGACCAUUCCCUUUUUAUUAAAAGAACAACCACAAGUUUCACAGCCCUGCUUGUUUAUGUGGAUGACAUUAUACUGGCAGGGAAUUCUAUGGGAGAAAUUGAUCAAAUAAAAGAUCUCUUGCACAGAAAGUUUCAAAUUAAAAACUUAGGAGAGCUUAAGUAUUUUCUUGGUUUGGAGGUAGCAAGGUCUAAGAGAGGAAUUCACUUGUCUUAAAGAAAGUAUGCCUUGGAUAUUCUGGAGGAAACAGGAAUGUUGGGUUGCAAGCCCUGUUCAACCCCCUUUCUAAGUGACACUAGUUCAUUGUACAAAAAGGAAAACUACUUAAAGGAUCCAAGCUCUUACAGAAGGUUAAUAGGGAAGUUGCUUUACCUCACUAACACUAGACCCGAUUUAUGCUUUUCUAUUAAUCUCUUAAGCCAAUUCAUGCAAUCACCCACUGACUAUCACUAUCGUGCUGCUCAACAUGUCCUUAGGUACAUAAAGUCUAAUCCCUCAAGUGGGUUGUUCUUCUCAGCAGAUUCUCUUGUACAUCUAAAGGCAUUCAGUGAUUCAGACUGGGCAACCUGCCCCAACACUAGGAGGUCUACUACAGGAUUUUGUAUUUUCCUUGGGUCAUCCCUCAUCUCAUGGAAAUCAAAAAAACAGAAAACGGUUUCCAGAUCUCUACUGAGGAAGAAUACCGAGCUUUAGCAGCAACUACGUGCGAAAUACAGUGGAUCAACUAUCUUUUGAGUGACCUACAGGUGCAAGAAGCUGGAAUUCCAGCUCUUUACUGCGACAACAAGUCUGCUAGACACAUAGCUCACAAUCAGAGCUUUCACGAAAGAACUAAGCAUAUCGAGCUCGAUUGUCAUGUUGUCCGAGAAAAAGUACAAGCUAAUCUACUCCAUUUACUCCCCAUUCACUCAGAUGAACAGCUAGCGGACGUUUUUACCAAGUUUCCUCAUCGUGUUCGUUUUCGAUCCGUCGUUCCCAAGCUCAGAUUGCUGACCAUCCACCAUCCAGCUUGAGGGGAGGCUAUUAGAAUUAGUUAUUCGUGAUUCUGUUCUAAUUACAGUAAUCACAUUAUUAGAAUUAGUUAUUCGUGAUUCUGUUCUAAUUACAGUAAUCACACUUUUGUUAGUCUGUUAGGAUUUACCAUAUAUUUCUUUUUCCAUUAUUAUGUUCUUCCCAUCCACAGAGAACUCUAUAAAUAAGAGUUCUCCCUUUGAUGUAAACACACAUAAACAUACAAUAAUAACACAGAUUUAGUUUUAUGCAGUUACCUUCGCUUCUCUAUUCUUCUUCUUCUUUCUCGUUUUCUUCUUAUUCUUCUCAGAUCUUCAUCAUCCUUCGAACCCCUUUCGAUCUCCCUUCAGAAGCCUUCACGCAACUAUCCAUACUCCAUCCUUGAAGAAGAACGCUAUUAGUUUGCUGGAGAAUCACCCAGAAGAAGCUUCGGUCCUUCUCUCUGCCAAGGGAUAGCUUCAGCCUUAUCCCUGCUCUGCUCCUCACCUACCUCUGACACGUGAGAAGCUUCCAGCAGAAGACUUUCACAAGUGAAAGGCAACAACGGGCAUUUGGGGUAAAAUGUUGGUUGGGCUUUUCUUAUAAGGCUCGGCCCAAUUUCUUUAUUGUCCAAGGGUCGUAGGCGGGAGGUGCUGGUGCUCGUGAACCACCAUUGCAGUUCAAUCGUGCCUUCGCAAAGUUCACUUCCAGUUUGAGAGGACUCCUGUUGUCGACACUUGCCUCGCGAGGUAAUCUUUCGUUCCCCACAUAUAUGAUAUACAUGUGUUGGAAAUGUGGUGUGGCCGUUUCUUUGGGCCGAGGGUUUACAUGCCGGAAACUACUUGUAGUGGAAAGGCCGCGCACACACUACACUCCAUAAUGCAUCUACUAUUCCAAACAAGGGAAGUAGGAAUUCUCUGGAAAGUGAAAACUACUUUACUUGUUUUUAGAUUGAGUUAGCUUAAAUUGUGGUUUGUAGUCUUGUUUAUGAUUAUGAACGAACUAUGACAUUGAGACUAUCACUUUUACUUCACAUUUUGAGCUGGUACUUACUCUAGGUUUUCUGUGCAGUAUAUCAAAAGGUUUUCAGGGAAAAGACAUGAGUUAUUUUGAUUUGUUAGGAAAUAGAGAGGGCGAAGAUAUCAUUCAAUUGCAAUUUUCUUUGAUCAUUAAUUUUUACAUGUUAAGCUUUUGUUUAAGUUCGUGUUCAAGAAGAAUAUAUUUUUUGCCUGAGUCCGUGUUCAAGUAGAGAGGGUGAAGAUAUAAUUUUUGCCUUGAUUGUAUGAGAAUUUUAUGUCUGAGUCCGUGUUCAAGAGUAUGGGAGAUUGAGNUCACGGGCUUUUGCUCAAGUGACAUGUUUGUUAAAAUAAAAGUUGUACUUUGGAUUCAUGGNCAUUUUGCUCAUAUAAUAUUUAACUUUUUUUCUAACUCAAAUGUGAGACUUGUUCUUGAACAUUUCACACAAAUUCAACUAGCUUGACCCAAGUGUGACNUGUCUUUNGUUUUCAGCNNGGGCUUGUUAAGUUUUGGGUCUCAAAGGCUACAAGUUUUGCUUUCAUUUAUUAUAGUGGCUAUGUGCUACUCUUUUUUGAGUUUUGAAGGCCUCAGGCUUGAUUUUAUUUUGACACUAUUCNUUUGUCCUAGCCUUUUAAAAUACAAAUUUUGGGGCAUUUACUUUCGUUUGUCACUCUAUUUUUUGUAUGGAAGGAUUAUUCUUUCUCUUAUUGAUUGCAAUGAUCGAGGAGAGUAGAUAUGUAGGCAGAAUAGAGAACCAUAAAAUGAAACGAAAAAUAUAUUGGCAGUAGCUUAAGGCCUAUCUUGAGAUAAAUACUCAGUUUGAUUAUUGUCAAAUCGGUUCCCUCUAGAGGACC
rnacentral:lncRNA from 1 species